CUCAGAUUGAACGCUGGCGGCAAGGCCUAACACGAUGCAAGUCGAACGGUAACAGGAAGAAGCUUGCUUCUUGCUGACGAGUGGCGGACGGGUGAGUAAUGUCUGGGAAACCGCCUGAUGGAGGGGAUAACUACUGGAAACGGUAGCUAAUACCGCAUAACGUCGCAAGGACCAAAAAGGGGGACCUUCGGGCCUCUUGCCAUCGGAUGUGCCCAGAUGGGAUUAGCUAGUAGGUGGGGUAACGGCUCACCUAGGCGACGAUCCCUAGCUGGUCUGAGAGGAUGACCAGCCACACUGGAACUGAGACACGGUCCAGACUCCUACGGGAGGCAGCAGUGGGGAAUAUUGCACAAUGGGCGCAAGCCUGAUGCAGCCAUGCCGCGUGUAUGAAGAAGGCCUUCGGGUUGUAAAGUACUUUCAGCGGGGAGGAAGGGAGUAAAGUUAAUACCUUUGCUCAUUGACGUUACCCGCAGAAGAAGCACCGGCUAACUCCGUG
rnacentral:rRNA from 1 species